AUUGAACGCUGGCGGCGUGCUUAACACAUGCAAGUCGUGCGGUAACAGGCGUAGCAAUACGUGCUGACGAGCGGCGAACGGGUGCGUAAUACAUGGGAAUCUGCCCUUUAGUGGGGAAUAACCCGGCGAAAGCCGGGCUAAUGCCGCAUAAGAUCUUCGGAUGAAAGCGGGGGAUCGUAAGACCUCGCGCUGAUGGAUGAGCCCAUGUCGGAUUAGCUAGUUGGUGAGGUAACGGCUCACCAAGGCGACGAUCCGUAGCUGGUCUGAGAGGACGGCCAGCCACACUGGGACUGAGACACGGCCCAGACUCCUACGGGAGGCAGCAGUGGGGAAUAUUGGACAAUGGGCGAAAGCCUGAUCCAGCGACGCCGCGUGUGUGAAGAAGGCCUGGCGGGUUGUAAAGCACUUUCG
rnacentral:rRNA from 1 species